ACUCUAGUACUUGCAUGUAUGUUCCUGUCUUUUUUAAAUUUAUUAAUGAAGUAUUCUGCACAAGGGAGGUAAGCAUGAACAGUAAAUAACUGGGUUACAUCUAAAAAGCCAAUCAUGAUUGUCUUAGUCAUCCUUGCUGCACUCUUCGCCUUCUCCCAAUGUCGAGCCGUUUACGACCAUGAUGGGGAGUACAAAAAACUUCUCUUCGCAAUUGCGGGGGAAUAUGGCGAUCCGAAGGUUUAUAUAGUUAGGGACUUUCAGGACGAGCGAGUUUGGAUUUCCGCCUACAGAGCGUGGGUGUAUCCAGUGAACACUACUGUAUUUCCAGGAGUAAGUAUACGUGACAGAGGAAGUCAAUGUUUUGUAACUGUCGCUAAAAUAGCUGAAUUAUAAAUGUAACUUUAUUAAAGACAUUCUAGCUAUGCCUAUUAAAAAGCAAUGCUUUGAAAAAUAGAAUUAUAUUUCUGAAACUUUAUUGAGGUCCACUUGAAGUAAAUUGUAUAAGUACGUGUAGAGCCUGAGCAUUAUAACUGUGGAGCCCUCGGAGACUAAUUAUUAAGAUACAGACUUCUAUUAGAUCUUACUAUUUAAUGACAGGUUAAAUUUGAAAUAAUGAAU
rnacentral:sRNA from 1 species